rnacentral:misc_RNA from 1 species
GUUUUCAACUUCAAACAAAAGUCAGGUAAAUUUUUGAUGUGUAUUCUUAAAGUAUUAGUACUACAUAAGACAAAGAAAAAAGAAGAAGUGGUGUCAUUUGCCUAUGUCCAGGAAUGACAUUGACUUCUAACCUCACAUUUCACAGUUGCCGGCACACGUGGCAUGUAAAUCUUUUUAAUUGUCUUUUUCUUAUGUGUUAGUGUGUAAAAUAAUUUGUCAAUUUGGUCUUUUACACCAUGUAUUUUUUAAUAUUUGACUCAAUCAAUGAGUGGUGCGUGAACCUGAGAGUAUAACAUCCACGGAAAGCAAAUCUCAAUAACUUAUUCUUGAUGAUGAAAAUAAACAUUUUCGAAAGCUUGAAACUUAGUUAAAAGAGUACACUUAUUUCACCGCUGCAUAAGCCAGGCAAAAUCCCAAGUGUUGCAAAAAAUCCUACACGAUAACGACAUUGACCUGGUUGCCAUACAAGAGACCCAUACUGAAGACAAAGUCCAGCUUGAUUUAAGAGGAAAGAUACCUGGCUACGAUUUACUGGGAGCCACCUAUGAUAAACAUUACGGCGUCGCAACCUACAUUCGCUGCAAUAUAGAAAAUGGUUUCCUACUUUCUGCUUCCAAUGAGAAUAAUAUACAUGAAGUAGUCACCAAGAUUGGAGAUAUUACCGUAGUUAACAUAUACAAACCUCCAGCCACUACAUGGAACCCAGAAGUGCUAAAGACUCAUCCACAUCCUACUAAAUACAUCGGCGACUUCAACAGCCACCACGAAAUGUGGAAGUACACCACGAAUGAUGAAAAUGGGGAGGCACUAGUAGAAUGGUCCGAAGAGCAAAACACAUACCUAGUUUUUGAUGCCAAAGACAGAGGAACAUUUAAAUCAGCUGCAUGGAGAAAAGAAUAUAACCCAGACCUAUGUUUUGUCUCAAAAGAUACCAAUGACAGACCACUAACAACUGCGAGAAGUGUCCUUGCAGACUUCCCACAUACUCAACAUCGUCCGGUGCUUAUCACCAUCGGAAUAUCAAUUCCAAUAAUUAGAUCAUAUCCUCUACCCAGGUGGAAUCUUAGAAAAGCAAACUGGAAGAAGUUCUCUGAACAACUAGACCGGACCUUGAGCUGGGUCCCUCCAACCAGCAAACAUUAUGAGAGGUUUGUGGGCGCAGUAAUAAGCACUGCCAAGAAAACCAUCCCUAGAGGGUAUCGCAAAGAAUAUGUGCCUGGAUGGACUGAAACAUGUGAAGACUUAUACACGAAGUUUCUCGAAAGUGGUGACCGAGAAAUAGCCGAUGAGCUUUUACACAACAUCGAUACAGCUAGACGCCAAAAAUGGAUAAAGACUGUCGAAAACCUUGACUUCAAAAAAUCAAGCCGGCAGGCAUGGUCCUUGUUGCGGAAAAUUGGAGGAGCUAACCAGCUGGAAUCCAGAGAGUCUAAAAUGUCUCCUAACAAGGUUGCCUCCCAUAUAGUAUCUCUAUCCAGAGCUCCACGAGAUCGAACACAUACUACCAACGUGAAAAGAGACUUAAGGGCAUUAAAACAAAUGAACAGAACGAACUCCGAAUAUUCAGCAAGAAUACUUAUUUCUGAAAUCACACAUGCGCUGAAAGAAAUGAAAUCAGGUAAAGCACCUGGCUUUGAUGGUAUUCAUCCAGAGUUCUUGAUACACAGUGGUGCAUACACGAAACAGUGGCUUGCAAUGUUCUUUAAUGAUAUACUUCAGUCAGGUAACAUGUAACGGUCACGUUACGAAAGUAGCUCUUUAAUAAUUAUUAUUAUUAUUUUCCCUCGGUCUCUCAUUUAAAUUCUCGUAUAGGACCACUGAGGUGACGUCAUACCUCGGUGAUGGAACGUACUCCACCUAUCGAGAAUUAUUCGGGUUCUGAGAGAAUUUGACGUUUACCUUGGCGGAGAAACGCCUCUCGUUCUUUACUUGACUGUGAGCUGUGGUGUCGAAUAGAUAUACCAUAUAGAAUGGCGGAUGAUUUCCUCCAACUUAUUUUAUCACAUAAGAAAUUUAACGUAAAGUAAAAAGUUACCACCAGGGAUUGUCUGGAGUGAGGAGACAUGUGGGUGACAACUCCUGUUGGAGUAUAAAUAGGAAUCAUUCGCCAUUUGGGAGAAACCCUACCAUGAAGUCAUAGACCUUAUUUGACCACCUAGAGAAACCACUACAGCCACAGUCAAGUCAUCAUGGGAAUACGUCUUUUUGGGAACAAGCUAUGGGAGCGUUCCAGCUCAAUUUUCGUCUUGGCACCUGGGCCUACAGGAGUCAUGGAGUCGCACCAUCCUGGUGCAUCAUUUCCUAGGAUGCAACCGCAACCUCGUUUGGGAACAUUUAGUGAGGUGUUUUAGUAACUAUUGGUUUUUUUUAUAUUUCAGACUAUCUGUUAAAUACACUAUGUUUUUUUUCCAGAUUUAGGUUACCUCUGGUUUUUUUUGACAUAUUUGUAUAUUAGAUUAUUUGGUUCCCAAACUUUGUAUCUACGGUAACUUCUUGUGCACAGGAAAAAGCCUAGAGAAAAUUACGUUUUUAAUGCUUUAUUAUUGCUUUGAUAUUGGUUUAUGUAAUUCGGGUAAAUUUAUUUUUUAAUAUUACUAGCUUGUUUCCCAAAUAUUUUACUGUUAUUCGCUUUAUUCCAUUUGUUCGGUUAAUUUAGGUCAUCGUCGGUAUUUAUCUCAACUUCAUUUCUACUUUAGUCAAUUGUAUAUUUAACUUUAUUUAUUCAUUAUUGUAUUUUCCCUUAGUGAGGCUUGGGCCUAUUUAUUUGUAGUAUUUUCAUCUUUGUCAGUUUCCUUUAGUUGUACGUAGCAGGCGUACUAUAACCAUUUGGUAGAAGACUUAUGUAAUUUUGUACCCUAUAUGUUAGUGAGAGGUACUUAUACCUGUAAUUUUGUAACAGGUAACAUUGUUGUUAUCUUAGGUUGAACAUAACUUUUGCAAACUUUUGUCAUGUUAGAGUCACAUAAUAUGAACUUGUUUAACUCAGAGAUUGUUAAAAAUCUAGUAGUUAUUUUUAAUAAAUAUGUAUUUAUUUUGUA